rnacentral:rRNA from 1 species
UACGAAGGGGGCUAGCGUUGUUCGGAUUUACUGGGCGUAAAGCGCACGUAGGCGGAUCUUUAAGUCAGAGGUGAAAUCCCAAGGCUCAACCUUGGAACUGCCUUUGAUACUGGGGAUCUUGAGUCCGGGAGAGGUGAGUGGAACUGCGAGUGUAGAGGUGAAAUUCGUAGAUAUUCGCAAGAACACCAGUGGCGGAGGCGGCUCACUGGCCCGGUACUGACGCUGAGGUGCGAAAGCGUGGGGAGCAAACGGG